rnacentral:rRNA from 1 species
GAUGAACGCUGGCGGCGUGCUUAACACAUGCAAGUCGAGCGAAGCACUUAAGUUUGAUUCUUCGGAUGAAGACUUUUGUGACUGAGCGGCGGACGGGUGAGUAACGCGUGGGUAACCUGCCUCAUACAGGGGGAUAACAGUUAGAAAUGACUGCUAAUACCGCAUAAGACCACAGUACCGCAUGGUACAGUGGUAAAAACUCCGGUGGUAUGAGAUGGACCCGCGUCUGAUUAGGUAGUUGGUGGGGUAACGGCCUACCAAGCCGACGAUCAGUAGCCGACCUGAGAGGGUGACCGGCCACAUUGGGACUGAGACACGGCCCAGACUCCUACGGGAGGCAGCAGUGGGGAAUAUUGCACAAUGGAGGAAACUCUGAUGCAGCGACGCCGCGUGAAGGAUGGAGUAUUUCGGUAUGUAAACUUCUAUCAGCAGGGAAGAAAAUGACGGUACCUGACUAAGAAGCCCCGGCCAACUACGUGCCAGCAGCCGCCGUAA